rnacentral:rRNA from 1 species
AGGGCACCACCAGGAGUGGAGCCUGCGGCUUAAUUUGACUCAACACGGGGAAACUCACCCGGCCCGGACACCGGAAGGAUUGACAGAUUGAUAGCUCUUUCUUGAUUCGGUGGAUGGGGGUGCAUGGCCGUUCUUAGUUGGUGGAGCGAUCUGUCUGGUUAAUUCCGAUAACGAACGAGACUCUAGCCUAUUAAAUAGACGUCGGGUUCUCUGCACUCGACGGUCUUCUUAGAGGGACAAGGUGCUUUUAGCACCGCGAAACAGAGCAAUAACAGGUCUGUGAUGCCCUUAUAUGUCCGGGGCCGCACGCGCGCUACACUGAAGGAAGCAGCGUGUAACAACCUUGUUCUAACGAACUGGGUAACCCGUGGAACUUCCUUCAUGAUUGGGAUAGGGGUUUGCAAUUGUGCCCCUUGAACGAGGAAUUCCCAGUAAACACUAGUCAUCAGCUAGUGCUGAUUACGUCCCUGCCCCUUGUACACACCGCCCGUCGCUACUACCGAUUGAAUGGCUUAGUGA